GAUGAAGAACGCAGCGAAAUGCGAUACUUGGUGUGAAUUGCAGAAUCCCGUGAACCAUCGAGUCUUUGAACGCAAGUUGCGCCCGAAGCCAUUAGGCCGAGGGCACGCCUGCCUGGGCGUCACACGUCGUUGCCCCCCCAUCUACUCCUUCGGGAUUGCGGGGGGCGGAUGAUGGCCUCCCGUGCGCCUCGUCGCGCGGUUGGCAUAAAUGCCAAGUCCUCGGCGACGCACGCCACGACAAUCGGUGGUUGCGAAACCUCGGUUGCCCGUCGUGUGCGGUCGUCGCGCAUCGAGGGCUCGAAAAAAUUGCCGGGAUCUGUUUCGGCUUUCAACGCGACCCCAGGUCAGGCGGGGUUACCCGCUGAAUUUAAGCAUAUCAAUAAGCGGAGGA
rnacentral:misc_RNA from 1 species